CCUACGGGAGGCAGCAGUGAGGAAUAUUGGUCAAUGGGCGGAAGCCUGAACCAGCCAAGUAGCGUGCAGGAUGACUGCCCUACGGGUUGUAAACUGCUUUUAUACGGGAAUAACGCGCCUUACGUGUAGGGUUUUGUAUGUACCGUAUGAAUAAGGAUCGGCUAACUCCGUGCCAGCAGCCGCGGUAAUACGGAGGGUCCGAGCGUUAUCCGGAUUUAUUGGGUUUAAAGGGAGCGUAGGCCGCAUGUCAAGUGUGCUGUGAAAUGUUCGGGCUCAACCGGGGCAUUGCAGUGGGAACUGGCGGGCUUGAGUCCACGGAAGGCAGGCGGAAUUCGUCGUGUAGCGGUGAAAUGCUUAGAUAUGACGAAGAACCCCGAUUGCGAAGGCAGCUUGCUGCAGCGGAACUGACGCUGAUGCUCGAAAGCGCGGGUAUCGAACAGGAUUAGAUACCCCAGUAGUC
rnacentral:rRNA from 1 species